UCUGGGGCAACUGGGCGUGCGCGGAGUCAUUUCCCUGGACUGUGUGUUUCGGCUAUUUUCCCUCGGCGGUUUGGGUACUCCACGAGCCCUCCCGGAGUUACGCGGGAUGCCACGCCGCAGGGCAGAGGAGGCGGCAGGACCCUCGGCAGGCACCGCCUCAGUUCUUUGCCCCUGGGCCCGGGACCUCGAGCUCAUAACGUCCAGGGGCUUCCUUCGCAAGGACUGGCACUGACUUGGGGGCGUAAACUCGCAGGCGGGAACCUCCACUACUCGCUUUAGGCCCUGGCACAUCCCAGGAGUUUACCCGGGAACGUGAAUGUGAGCGCGGUUCCAAACUCCGGUACUGUCGGGGCCUUGUCCCGCCUCCAAGUCAUUCGACUUACCUGCGUUGAGAUACUAAUUUGUGCCUGGCACUCCGGUUUUUGGAGAGAGUAACAAAAAACGGCGAGUUUCUGGGUGACUCACGGAAACCAGGACAGAAGACCAGGACAGGAAUCAGAGAUGAUCAUCUCAUCCGGUCUUUCCAUGGCAGUUUUGGCGCUGCUCCAUCUAAGCUGCUUUUUCAUUCCUUCAUCACCUGAAUGUCGGUUCCCCAAGAUUGUGUCUUCAACUCUACCUCAUUCUAUAUAGCAUCAUCCACUCUCAUAGCAUUAUCUGUUAUUAUUAGGCCAAUAAUAGCUCUUCCAUGAGCUGUGGUGUGCUGCUUCCAGCUGUGUGCUGGAUGCAUCUACCUUGACUUUGUGCUGGGAAUCAAAUGCUGUCUUCUGACUUCUGAACCCAUGAUUCCUUCUGUAUGCCUCAUUGCUUCCAUGUCAGUCUCUUGCCAUCCUGCCAGUAAGAACCAGCUGAGACCAAGUCUGAUUCCUCCCUCACUCUGCAAUGUCUAGUUCGCUACUGAGUCCAUUCAGUUCUACUUUCUCCAAGGUCUGGCUCAAAUGCCACAUCCUCAGCAGAAUCCUACCCAACCUCAGCCUCUUUAAAGUAGUUUCUCCUACAAGUUUUAGAGCUUUAGGCUUUACAUUUAGGUCCGUGAUCCACUUUGGAUAAAUUUUUGUAUGUGGUCUGAGGUACAGACAGAGGCUUAUUUUGUUUUGUUUUUUGCAUCUGUAUAUCUGAUUGUUUCAGUGCUGUUUGUUGACAGGCUGGUCAUUGAAUUGCCCUGGCAUCUCCUG
ensembl:lncRNA